UGAAGCCCAGUUCAAUACAAACAAGUGAGUUUGACUCAUCAGAUGAAGAGCCUAUUGAAGAUGAACAGACUCCAAUUCAUAUAUCAUGGCUACCUUUGUCACGAGUGAAUUGUUCUCAGUUUCUCGGUUUAUGUGCUCUUCCAGUAGCUGCUUGUCUCCUACUAUACCUGUCUGACACAAUAUCACCAGAGCAAGCCAUAGACAGCCUGCGAGACCUAAGAGGAUCCGGGGCAAUACAGACCAUCAAGCAAUACAAUUAUCUUCAUGAGUUUCGGGACAAAUUAGCUGCACAUCUAUCAUCAAAAGAUUCACAAUCAAGAUCUGUAUCAAGAUAAAGGAAUUCAAAUAGCAUAUAUAUGACCAUGUCUGAAAU
rnacentral:sRNA from 1 species